rnacentral:lncRNA from 1 species
GGAGGGAGGGAGAGAGGGAUGGAUGGAUGGAGCUGAGCAUGGGGAGUUAAUGGACUGUGAAUAGGACUGAUGGUAAGGGUGAGGGGCAGAGCCUGAAGGGCAAAUCACACCUGCAGGGAAGAUGAAUGAGAUGUUUUCCCAAGACGAAUGAGGGAGCCUCCACAAGGGCACCAGCUGGAGGUCUGGGCAGGRGUCCGUGGAGGAGACGAAAGGGUUAAAUCAAUGAACCAGGUUCUCAUCAGACUUUGCUGGAAAGAYUUAGGUUUUUCCACUGACUUGUAUUUCUCUCCUGGUAGCGUUUAGGUGCGAUAAACCCACAUGUGCAAACACACACUGCCCUUCCCCUGGGGGCUGCCUUGGAAAAGAACAUCUUCCAUCUGAGGAUCUGUGCACGGCUUGCAUCCUGGAGGCCUCGGAGCCUUAUUAGCUCCAGGGGUGUGUGAUUAUCCACAGGUGUCUGAGGGGGGGAAAAAAGAUGCAAAGAAGCAAAAUGGCUUGGCCCAAGGUGCAAAGAAAGUCAGCAGCGGAGCUAUGAAUAGCCCUGCCGGCUCCUUACAGCCAGCCGAGCGCUGGGCUGUGAGGCCUCCUGAAAGGUGGGAAGCCAGAAACCACCUUCUGCUUCCUGAAAGACUCGCAGAAGGGAGGGAUGUGCAACAGCGGUGGGGACAUACCGGACUCGGCUUUUGAGCGAGGACUAACUACUGGCCCAAACCAUGAGAACCAGGAGAUGCUGUGGGCCACACAAGGAACGGAAAGAAAGGAAUGUGCUGAACACGCUGAAAAUGCUGAUGGACGGGACAAAUGGGUGGCAACGCACGGGAUGGAAACGGUAAUGAAACACCUGCGUGUGGAGAGCCCCGCGGCCGGGGUGCUCCCGCAAGGGGAAGCAGACGAACCCGGCACUCGGAGGGUUUAAGGCUCCAGGAUGCUCCCAGUGGCACUACGMCCCGUACACCAGCUGGCCCGGCCCAUUCGCUUUGACAUCCCAAAGUGUUUUUCAGCUCCUGAUGCUUUCGGAGUAGGAAGAUCCCCUUAUUCUCAGGAGCAUUUUGGSAUCAAGGAAGGCUAAAGGCCCUCUCCAAAAAGCAGCCCGUGUUGUCCCGCUCCCAGGCCUGUCCCAGACGCUGCGUGAUCAGCCAGAGCCCAUGAAUUAUUCACUGCUCCUCCGUGUCGCGGAG